rnacentral:misc_RNA from 1 species
UACUGAGGAUCCAAGCGGUAUCCGGAAUCAUUGGGUUUAAAGGGUCCGUAGGCGGUCUUAUAGGUCAGUGGUGAAAUCUCCUAGCUCAACUAGGAAACUGCCAUUGAUAUUGUAAGACUUGAAUUUUUGUGAAGUAACUAGAAUAUGUAGUGUAGCGGUGAAAUGCUUAGAUAUUACAUGGAAUACCAAUUGCGAAGGCAGGUUACUAGCAAACGAUUGACGCUGAUGGACGAAAGCGUGGGGAGCGAACAGG